GGUGGUGCAGUUCUAGGGUCUUCCGGGUGGCCUUUCCCACCACUGUGGGAAUCUCCUGGCCCGUGGGUCAGGAGCCCAGUGUGGGAAUCUUUCAGGAAUGCAGAUGUCUUCCCCGGAAACUGCAUGUGUCUUGCCCCUAGGACUGGCCAGGUGAACAUCGAGGGCCACUGCCCCAACCUCCUGGACUCCACUGUGACUCCAGGAAGGAGCUGUCCUUCUGGCAGGGGAAGGACUCACUAGAAUUUUGGCUUCCUUACCUCAGUUUUAUCCACCAAAUUCCUUUUUCCAUUUGAAGCCUGUUUACAAGGUCCGGGGCCUAUCUCUUGGGCACCAUGUACUCCGCACUUGGGGCCUUCAUGCCACUGUGGUUCUCACAUGGCUGUCCCCCAGCACAGAAGGCUGGCACUGGGUUAUGGAUAUGUGCCCUGUCAAGGGGACAGGUUGGAGGUAGCACCAGCUCCCUGUCCAUGGUCACAAAGCUGGUCAGUGAAGAACUGGCUUGGCCUGGCUGUCUCAGGCCACUGGACAGAGACCAGGCACAGUGUCCUGUCCCAGGGCUCCAGGGGAAGGUGGGGGCACCUUGGGGAGGGAAGCUGGGUGCUUGCACAGGCACAGACACACCCACCCCCUGUGCCAUGCACCUGUGCACACAGGCAUCCAGCACAGAGAAGGUGCCUGGGGCCUCAGAGUGCAGGUGCCACCGAGGCUGGGGUAGCUCACAGGCUCUGGCCUCCUCAGAGGCCCCGGGAGCUGGUGAGCUGCAGUAUGCAGACCUUCGGGGACCCUCCAGGGCACAGGCAGGGGCUGCAGCAAGACCUGGACAGGAUCCUUCCAGAAGCCUCUGAACUUUGGUCUCUAAUUCCUUCCCCUUGAACCCCUGCACCCUAGGAAGGAGGUUUUGUCAGCAUUUCCCACUUUUAGGUGAAGAGGGUGACCUUGGCGAUCCUACCUGAAACUGGAUCCCAGGUUCACCUGGGGUCACAGAAAUCAGGAUGGGGGCAGAGCCAGGGCCAGCGCCAUGUGAGUUAGGGAGAAGUGGACUCAAGGGCGAGAGGGAGCCCUGGGCCAGCUGCCUGGACCACCGAGGGGCUGCCAGAGUUCAGGCCCUGGGAGGCAGUGUGGGUGCUGUGGGGACCAUUCAGAUUCCGGAGCAGGCGGGCAGCGGCUGGCCGGGAGAGAGCUCGAGGCACCCUGGCAGGGGGAGACAGCUGCUCAGGCCACCCUGUCCCUGAGCCUCGCCUGUGUGCACUCAUGCACAGGCAUGUGGACAUGUGGGUGUGGGCCUGCACUGGGCACAGGCAUGUGGCACAUGUGAGCACGUACAAGGGCCAUGUGGACACACAGGAACAAGGCCAGACACGCAGGACACGUGCACACACACAGGCAUGACUGUGCAUCUGCACACCCUCACACAGGCGCACACAGGUACGCACAGAACACAGUCACCCGUGAGCAGCCUCGUCCGCACACACUGGCACACAGGGUUGAAGUCAGUCACUCUUAAUGCUCUGUGGCAGCUAGUAGCCUGGCUUGGUCACCACCCUGUCCUGGGCCCGGUGUCCUGCUGGAGGUCACCUGAAGGCGUAUGGGCCACAGAGAGGGUCCCUGAGGUGGCUGUACCCACCCCACCCCUGUGCCUAGGUGGCUCCCGGACUCCUGGCUGAGGCAGAUUUGUACCUGGUGGGUGCCCAUCCUGGCCAGGCCGGGCGUCUCUGAGAGUAACCAUCCCAGGACCACCCCAAGGCCUCGCAGGUUCUGGGCUUCCUGUACAUAUAGCCCAGGUCUUCUGACAGGCACCUGGCUGUUCCGGACAGCUCUCUCUGGACAGUCCCGUGUGGCCUGGUCCCUGCAAGGCCGCUGUCCCCAGAGCUGAUGCAUGGUUGCCCCUCAUGGUCCUGGUCCUGCUCUCUGAGCCUCAGUGGUUCCUUCAGGGGGAAGCUGGGGCUCGGGCUGCCCCAGGAGCCCAGUGAGGGGUAAGUGUAGAGGUGUCUGGGGCUCGGCCGUGCACAGCACUGGCUAGGAUCUCCGCCUUUCUCCCGGAUCCUGCCCCCGCCUGCAUCUUCUAGGUGUGGAAAGCCCUCUGGGCAGUACCCAGCACCCCAGGAAGCUGCUCACAGUGAGAUUCCUGUGCCCAGCUGGGGUCCCAGAGUGGGCAGCUGCCCCCCAGAGUUCUCUGGAAAAAAGAUCUGCCCUCCACCCCCGUUAUAUAAUGGGAUUAUGACACAACUUCUGAGGCAUG
rnacentral:lncRNA from 1 species